GCGCAGCAGGCGAGAAACCUCCGCAAUACACGAAAGUGUGACGGGGCCAUCCCGAGUGCCGUCCGCUGAGGACGGCUUUUCCCCAGUGUACACAGCUGGGGGAAUAAGGAGAGGGCAAGCCUGGUGUCAGCCGCCGCGGUAAUACCAGCUCUCCGAGUGGUGGGGACGCUUAUUGGGCCUAAAGCAUCCGUAGCCGGCUGGGCAAGUCCUCCGUUAAAUCCAACGAUUCAAUCGUUGGGCUGCGGGGGAUACUGUCCAGCUUGGGGGCGGGAGGGGCCGACGGUAUUCCCGGGGUAGGGGUGAAAUCCUAUAAUCCCGGGAGGACCACCAGUGGCGAAGGCUGUCGGCUAGAACGCGCCCGACGGUGAGGGAUGAAAGCUGGGGGAGCGAACCGGAUUAGAUA
rnacentral:rRNA from 1 species